rnacentral:rRNA from 1 species
CCAAGUCGUGAGGCGGAGCUAAUCCCUUAAAGCCAUUCUCAGUUCGGAUUGUAGGCUGAAACUCGCCUACAUGAAGCUGGAGUUACUAGUAAUCGCAGAUCAGAAUGCUGCGGUGAAUGCGUUCCCGGGUCUUGUACACACCGCCCGUCACACCACGGAAGUUGGGGGCGCCCGAAGCCACUUAGCUAACCCUUUUGGGAAGCGAGUGUCGAAGGUGAAAUCAAUAACUGGGGUGAAGUCGUAACAAGGUAUC